rnacentral:rRNA from 1 species
CCUACGGGUCGCACCAGUGGGGAAUAUUGCACAAUGGGCGCAAGCCUGAUGCAGCCAUGCCGCGUGUAUGAAGAAGGCCCUAGGGUUGUAAAGUACUUUCAGUCGGGAGGAAGGCGUUGAUGCUAAUAUCAUCAACGGUUGACGUUACCGACAUAAGAAGCACCGGCUAACUCCGUGCCAGCAGCCGCGGUAAUACGGCGGGUGCUAGCGUUAAUCGGAAUUACUGGGCGUAAAGCGCACGCAGGCGGUUGAUUAAGUUAGAUGUGAAAUCCCCGGGCUUAACCUGGGAAUGGCAUCUAAGACUGGUCAGCUAGAGUCUUGUAGAGGGGGGUAGAAUUCCAUGUGUAGCGGUGAAAUGCGUAGAUAUGUGGAGGAAUACCGGUGGCGAAGGCGGCCCCCUGGACAAAGACUGACGCUCAGGUGCGAAAGCGUGGGGAGCAAACAGGAUUAGAUACCCUCGUAGUC